rnacentral:rRNA from 1 species
UCUGGUGAUGAUGGCAGAGAGGUCACACCCGUUCCCAUACCGAACACGGAAGUUAAGCUCUCUAGCGCCGAUGGUAGUUGGGACCUUGUCCCUGUGAGAGUAGGACGUCGCCAGGC